GCUUGCUGGGUGGAUUAGUGGCGAACGGGUGAGUAACACGUGAGUAACCUGCCCUUGACUCUGGGAUAAGCCCGGGAAACUGGGUCUAAUACCGGAUAGGAACGUCCACCGCAUGGUGGUUGUUGGAAAGAUUUAUCGGUCAUGGAUGGACUCGCGGCCUAUCAGCUUGUUGGUGAGGUAAUGGCUCACCAAGGCGACGACGGGUAGCCGGCCUGAGAGGGUGACCGGCCACACUGGGACUGAGACACGGCCCAGACUCCUACGGGAGGCAGCAGUGGGGAAUAUUGCACAAUGGGCGAAAGCCUGAUGCAGCGACGCCGCGUGAGGGAUGACGGCCUUCGGGUUGUAAACCUCUUUCAGUAGGGAAGAAGCGAAAGUGACGGUACCUGCAGAAGAAGCACCGGCUAACUACGUGCCAGCAGCCGCGGUAAUACGUAGGGUGCGAGCGUUAUCCGGAAUUAUUGGGCGUAAAGAGCUCGUAGGCGGUUUGUCGCGUCUGUCGUGAAAGUCCGGGGCUUAACCCCGGAUCUGCGGUGGGUACGGGCAGACUAGAGUGCAGUAGGGGAGACUGGAAUUCCUGGUGUAGCGGUGGAAUGCGCAGAUAUCAGGAGGAACACCGAUGGCGAAGGCAGGUCUCUGGGCUGUAACUGACG
rnacentral:rRNA from 1 species